rnacentral:rRNA from 1 species
AAGUUUGAAACUCAAAAGGAAUUGACGGGGGGCCCGCACAAGCGGUGGAUUAUGUGGUUUAAUUCGAUGAUACGCGAGGAACCUUACCAAGGCUUAAAUGGGAAUUGAUCGGUUUAGAAAUAGACCUUCCUUCGGGCAAUUUUCAAGGUGCUGCAUGGUUGUCGUCAGCUCGUGCCGUGAGGUGUUAGGUUAAGUCCUGCAACGAGCGCAACCCCUGUCACUAGUUGCCAUCAUUCAGUUGGGGACUCUGGUGAGACUGCCUACGCAAGUAGAGAGGAAGGUGGGGAUGACGUCAAAUCAUCACGGCCCUUACGCCUUGGGCCACACACGUAAUACAAUGGCCGGUACAGAGGGCAGCUACACAGCGAUGUGAUGCAAAUCUCGAAAGCCGGUCUCAGUUCGGAUUGGAGUCUGCAACUCGACUCUAUGAAGCUGGAAUCGCUAGUAAUCGCGCAUCAGCCAUGGCGCGGUGAAUACGUUCCCGGGCCUUGUACACACCGCCCGUCAAGCCAUGGAAGUCUGGGGUACCUGAAGUCGGUGACCGUAAAAGGAGCUGCCUAGGGUAAAACAGGUAACUAGGGCUAAGUCGUAACA